UUAGGUUUAAUUUUAUCUUUUCUUUUUUAUUAUUAAUUAAGGAAGGAGUAAUUUUUCCAAAUUUUGAUAUUAUUUUUUGUUUGAGAAAGUUUUAACCUUCGGAUGGCGUGCCAGCAGUUUCGGUUAUACGAUUGGUUUAAAAAAUGAAGUUAUUAUUUUAGGAUUUAAAUUAUUUAAAUUAAAGUUUGGAGUUUAGGUAAAAUUUUGUUUGAGUUAAUUUUUUUCUUCUUAAAAUUUUAUUCAAUAAUGAUAACAGGAUUAGAGACCCUGGUAUUUUGAUGAUUUGUAGGUAGUAUAAGGAGUUCUUGAAACCUGUGAAUUAAGACGGUUUUUAAUCUGGUUGGGGGGGUUUGUUCUUUAAAUGAUAAUCCUCGUUUUAUUAAACCUUUAUUAUUAGUUCUUAUGUCGCCAUUAUUUUCUUUUUUGAAUAUUUAAUGUUUAAUUAUUUUUUUUAGGUAAAGACAAGACUUAUAUGAAGGAUGGAAUUAAUCACUUAGAGAAACAAAACUUAUAUUGUUUUUUUAAUUAGGACUCAUAAGUUAAUUUAAUUUUAAAGCUUUUUUUGAAAUAGUAAUUAAAAAUGUACUAAUCGCCCGUCACUCUAAUUAUUAGAUAAGUCGUAACA
rnacentral:ncRNA from 1 species